AUGCUGAAGACUUACACAGCUCAGCACUUGAGUUUGGGGUCAGGCCACAUUCAGCAAACAUCGGUGGUGCCACUAACAAAUUCACCUUUGGAAAUAACAAUCAUGGCCUUGAUUCCUUGCCCUCCAGAGAGCAGAUACUCCUUCACUGGGGUGAGUCAUCAGGAGGAUAGAGACCUGGCCCUCCCAGAACAGAGUGAAGCUGACCAGGGGCAAGCUGACCUUACAGAAACACAUUACCCAGGACUCUUCCAGUUGUAGUUUCCAACUCAUGCUAGUAAUUUCCAUGACAGCUAAAGGAAAAACCAAAAGGAAACUGAAUGACUCAUCUUGGGGGUCAAAUAAGGUAAGCCAAUUCUCUAAGCCUUUAGGUUCUGCUGUCCUCUUUCCUUGGAUCCAUUCUCAGACUGAUCCUCUUCACACUGUAGUCCCAAGAAGCUUAUGUCAUAAUGGUCUUCAGCGUUCAAGAUCUCUCAAUGAGAGAUUCAGAAUUUAUAGGUCAUAGAAAAACCCCACCAAAAAAUAACAAUUCUGAUAGACUCUACUUGGACCAAUCACUUAUGCAGGCAGUAGAACACUUUCGUAGAUGAGGAAGAUCCAAAGAGACGCAGAACCACAUGGUUGACAGUUCCACUAGUAUGAUAUAAAGUGGUAAGUGCAGUUCUCUAGGAAAAGAGGGGUUCUGUUAUUAGAAGGGAACAUUGGCCAGGACAGAAACAAUGCUCAGUACAGAAGGCAAAAUAGUUGAAGGUAGGUAAGAGAGGGAGUCAUUUUUCCUGCCAUUAAUCCUUUAUCUCUAGGGAAGAGUUUUUUUAAAUGAUCUUAUUUAUUCACGAGAAACACACAGAGAGAGGCAGAGCAGGUAGAGGGAGAAGCAGGCUACCUCAAGGGAGCCUGAUGCAGGACUCCAUCCAGGACUCUGGGAUCACAACCUGAGCUGAAGGCAGAUUCCUAACCACUGAGCCACCCAGGUGCCCCUUUAGGGAAGUUUUAUCUGAAAGUUUG
rnacentral:lncRNA from 1 species